GGUUGGAAGACGAGGAGAACGGACAGCCCCAACUCUGUAUUUUACAGGGGGGGAAGGACGGGGUUGUCUAUGUGGGGAAAUAUUGCUACUACGAUAGCUGUGAAGAAACCGGAGGACCCGGUUGAUUUAAAACAGAUGGAUGGUCCCAGGCGACGUCACUAUCAACCGUCCGCACGAAGCUCGAGAACCUACUGCUGUUAUUCUGAAGGUGCUCAUUUCGUUUACAUCGCUCUGCUCAUACAGACAAGUCGGCAGUUGUGAGAGGCGCUUGACAACCCCACUAGAUCCACCCUUGUCUUCUGAGGGUGUGUGUGUAUCCAGCCUAGCUGCUACUAUCCUUCGCCGCGUGGGUCUGGGUGGGCCCGAGGGGUUGGCUGUUAUCUUUGGUUAUCUAGCUGUAUGAGUGGUGUACAUUCUUCAUAAAGCUAGAUAACCGAAAGUAACAAGAAUCCCAUUGCGCUCCCGCAAGGCCUGUUUCUUGUGCCAACAAACAAAACAAAAUGGCCGACGCCCGAGAGGAAGUGCCCAGCCAACCAAUCAGAAGACUUAAAAGGUGACCCAUCACAUUGGAGUCAUGAUGUCAAGGCCAGUCAUCUGGCUCCGCCUCCCUCUGAAGUCCACCCCACCUCACCAAUGGGGACGUCCAUUUCCGAACGUAAUGGUGCCCACCUGACCUAAAUGGAACCGGAUUGACUCCUCUUGUUAAACCUGAAGCACUUUGUUGACGUUGUAGGAUCUCCCUUUAGUUUGGGUGAACUUUGGGCACAUGCCUGGACUGAACAUGGGGUAAUGUACUGUUGGGUCACGGAUACCAAUGGAUACACAACCACAGCUGAACAUGGGGUAAUGUACUGUUGGGUCACGGAUACCAAUGGAUACUCAACCACAGCUGAACAUGGGGUAAUGUACUGUUGGGUCAUGGAUACCAAUGGAUACACAACCACAGCUGCGUCUGUGGGCCUAACCCCCAGACUGUCUUCUGAACGUCCGGAUAUACCAAUCAAAGUAGAAGUUUCAAACGGACUACUGUGAACUGGUGCGUCUCUGUCCUCCCACAACUAACUGACUGGAUACAUGGACAGAAAUUGACAUACCUGCGCUAAGCAGCUGGAUGUGGACCAUGAUCGCCGAGAAGAACAUAGACUAAUUUGCAUAUUGAAGCAUACUGGACUGGCGUAUGGAAAGCCCAUGAGUCCGAAUGGUAGACACAUAGACCUUGAAGCGGAGUUUUUUGUCCCGGAGCCGGAGUAUACCAUUCAACACAGAGGGCAUAGACCACUAGCCCCGUUGUUUAUGGACGAGUGCUGCGUGAGGGUUUUAGUGAGGGGUGUGAGAAGUGUGCUUGCUGUGUUGUGACGGUACACCGGCCUCUCCGAGACGACUCCACACACAAACAGCUGUAUCUGUCCCAUCUGCCGUACAUUCGGGCCGCGGGUCGGCGCACUGAUCUGUUGACGUGUAUGUGUGCUCGUUUGUUUACUUGUGCUUGUCUGUGUAUGUGCACGCACUUUGCGUCAUCCUCACUCAGCGCAAGUUCUGUUCUCGGAUUGUAAGCAACACACACACACACCACAAGCCAUAGUAAAGGUCUUGUAAGCUGCUUCUGGUUAACGGUCAUUGGAUUUAUUAUGCACUCAUGCUACAGUACAUGGCAAAAAUGAUAUUUGACACUGAAGGAGGUUAUAUGGUUUUAGUAGUGGAAUCCCUCUGCACCACUGAUUUUAUUACCAAGGGGAGGCAAACAAGUAUUUUAUAUUGGACAGACCACAUAGUAUUCCGAUAAUGUGUGUAUAGAUAGAACACAUGAAAUUCAUUAAAAUAGAAACAUAGAAAUGCAUCUUGAAAUCUAUGCAAAUGAAUCAACAAACUAUUUUUUAUCAUUUGCUUAUGAGAAUCAUUCAAAUUCCCUGAGGGUUAUAGGAUUUUUUCCCCAAGGACAAUCUGUUAAAUAUUGUAGGGUGAUGUGAGAGAAAUGAAAUGAAAGUGCAAUAUAGAAAGGUUUCUGCGCUCUGGUCCAGACUAAAAAAUAUGUUGGGAUUUGACACUGUUUUUCUCAACUGCUUUGAUACAUUUUUAAACAAAUGUAUCAAUAUCAAAAUAGAAACAUUGGACUGGUUCAUUUACUUAACUGUGCAGGGACAUCUAUACAUCUUCAGAUUGGUUCUAAUGGAUCCACUGCAACGUUUCAUAUACCUUUUCCCAUGCAACUCCUAUUAUUUCUGGGAUUUCAUGUCAACAUUUUUACUCUAUGCAGCUUCUAUAUUUUGUAACUUUUGCAGCUUUUUGUAAUCAAUAAUGUGACUGUCAUUCGGAGCAACUGCCUUUCAUAUUUUGAUUUCUGUCAUUUUUAGGAUUAACUUCGACAAUGUUGAAAAUGUUUCAUAUUUUUGUUGCUGCAAGUUUUAGAAAAAGUAUGCAAUGGCUGUAUGAAAAAUGUGUUUGAGAGUGUGAUGUGCUGAACGGGUUAACAACAAUGUGUACUCUACAUGAACAACACAUAUGCACUAUAUGAGCAAGUAUGCAAUAUGCUAUAGUCUAGAAAUACUGUUAUCAAGACCACACUAUAUGUAGUGGGUUACUGUGCAAUUUGUUGUGAGGAUUGUGCAAUCAGAGUGAAUGUGGGCUCUACAUGAGGAGUUUAAUAAACUAAACAGUCAGAGUGAAUGUGGGCUCUACAUGAGGAGUUUAAUAAACUAAACAGUCAGAGUGAAUGUGGGCUCUACAUGAGGAGUUUAAUAAACUAAACAGUCAGAGUGAAUGUGGGCUCUACAUGAGGAGUUUAAACUAAACAGUCAGAGUGAAUGUGGGCUCUACAUGAGGAGUUUAAUAAACUAAACAGUCACAGUGAAUGUGGGCUCUACAUGAGCAGUUUAAUAAACUAAACAGUCAGAGUGAAUGUCGGCUCUACAUGAGCAGUUUAAACUAAACAGUCAGAGUGAAUGUGGGCUCUACAUGAGGAGUUUAAACUAAACAGUCAGAGUGAAGUAUCUGUAGAAGUAUCUAUCAUGUAGAAAGCAAGAGUGUAAUUGAUGGAUGGUGUGCACUAUUUGGAAUGUAUGCAAUUUGUAUGGAGGAAGUAUGUACUAUGUUGAGGGUGAAUGCAAUGUUUUAAUGACAAUGUUGGAUUUUAAAGAGAUGCUUGCAUGAGUGCACUAUGUCCCACAAGUGCAUAGCCUAUGUUAGCCAUGUCUGCACAUGACCUCUGAAUCCUAACUGUAUGGGACUGAGUCAUUCUUGUACCAUGUACUGUGUACUAUGCAGGAUUAGUUUAACAAUCAAUAAAUGUUUACAUUGAAAAAAGAAAACACAAAUGU